rnacentral:piRNA from 1 species
UGAGAAAAAAUUGAAUUCUUCUUGCCUA